AUCAACAAAAUAAGAAACAUAGCCACUACUAUUAGUAAAAAACAAUGGCAUCUCAUCGAGUACUCGAGCAGAAUGAUCGGCUUGCUAAGGCUGCUGCAGAAGAUUUACGCAAGCUAGAUGAAUUAUAUCCUCGGCCACAGCCUGGCAGAAGGCCCGGGGUGGGGGGGGCUCCUCCUCGAUAUCCUUAUGAUCAGAUCCCCUACCAACAGCCCUGGAUGGUGCCCGGAAAGCAGGUAAUUUAUUAUCCGAGAGAACGUGUUAUCACUAGCCUUGAGGCAGCUCAGAUGUAUGGUGGGAUUCAGUUCAAAGAUUUGCCCAGUAAAAACUACUAAAAAACCACGCACCUCAGCUAUCUAUCAGAUGAUCGUAUGUUCCACUCGUAAUAUUGUAUGGCAAGUAUCUGUAAUUUAGUCGUAUUGGCUUCUUGUAUAAAUAAAUAAAUAAAUAAUCAUAGUCGAAGAGUAUUCGGGUUGUAUUAUUACAUAUAGCAAAGUGGAAUUUACACCCUUUUCUAUUACCUUAUUUUUUCUGGUGCGUGCACCAAUUCUUUUAAUGGCAAGUUUUGCUACCAGUGUAGUUCUGUACUGAGGAAAGCCCCUUCAUCAUAUUUCAGAGCUAUUUUUUUUUUUUUUAAGUAUAAUUAAAGUACCCGAGUUUGAAAAUCUGCAAAUCUGUUGAUCUAAUUUGAUUUGAUUUAGAGAACUCCUGCAACUUAAUAUUUUUAAUCUAAAUUUGAAACAAUUGAAAUUU
rnacentral:lncRNA from 1 species